UUCUUAGUGGUUUGAGCGAUGGAGUCGCAAAGAAAGUUGCUGAGUGCUGAUGAAGAAAUCAUAUCAUCUGAUGACGAUGAAAUCAUUUGUUUGGAUGUGCACAGCCCCGAGA